GAUGAACGCUGGCGGCGUGCCUAAUACAUGCAAGUACAACGCUGAAGUAGGAGCUUGCUCCUCUGGAUGAGUUGCGAACGGGUGUGUAACGCGUAGGUAACCUGCCUGUUAGCGGGGGAUAACUCUUGGAAACGAUAGCUAAUACCGCAUGACAACAGUUAUUGCAUGAUAACCGUUUAAAAGGGGCAACUGCUCCACUACCAGAUGGACCUGCGUUGUAUUAGUUAGUUGGUGAGGUAACGGCUCACCAAGGCGACGAUACAGAGCCGAACUGAGAGGGGGGUCGGCCAAACUGGGACUGAGACACGGCCCAGGCUCCUACGGGGAGCAGCAAUAAGGGAUCUUCGGCAAUGGACGGAAGUCUGGCCGGGCAACGCCGCGUGGGUGAAGGAGGUUUUCGGGUCGUAAAGCCCUGUUGUAAAGGAAGAAAGAGAGGGGGAGUGAAAAGUUCACACUGUGACGGUAUCUAACCAGAAAGGGACGGCUAACUACGUG
rnacentral:rRNA from 1 species